CAUCCAACCAUUUUGACAAAUGCGUCGUACACGUGGCAUUACGAUUAAUUUAUUCGGCUACGGUUACUUGAUGACUUGUCGGAUUUUUACGAAUACUUCACAUACAAGUGAAUUCUCAUUUUUAUCCUUCUCCAUGAACAUAAGCAAAAAUGCAAGAAGUUAACUAAAAGGGUAAAUUAGUCAAUUGACGCGACAAUAGAGUUUUUCUUUGUGUAGGCCAAAUGGUCAGCCGUGCCUAAUAGAUACAGUAGAGUUCGAUAUAUUGAGCAACAUGAUGCAAGCUGUUGAUGAAGAACGGUAUGAUGAAGCAGGUAAGGCUAGGCUCUCUGCCUCUCACUGACUCCUCAUGAAACCGUUUGAAAGAAUCAAAGAUCAGUGAGCUUGUUUGGUUACAAUGAUGUUGCAGCUGAGUACAGAGAAAUGUAUUAAGGGAUAUGUAUCCCACAUUGGAAAAUCAAUGGGACAUUAAGUAAUAUAUAAAAGGUUAGGGCCAAUCCACUAAUUGCCAAUUGGUUUUGAGUUGGAAGCUCAUAAUAAACUCGAAUCUAACAUGGUAUCAGAGCUCAGAAUCCUAAUAAGUUAAACCCCUAAUUAAUAUUAACCCUACCCGACCGGGUAUAUAUGUCGUAAUUGACUCGCUCGACCGAGUAUAACUGUCUUAAAAAAAAAAAAAGUUUCCGAGAUUUCUGGCCGAUAAAAGCCAUCAUCUCGAGGAGGGGUAUUAAGGGAUAUGUAUCCCACAUUGGAAAAUCAAUGGGACAUUAAGUAAUAUAUAAAGGGUUAGGGUCAAUCCACUAAUUGCCAAUUGGUUUUGAGUUGGAAGCCUAUAAUAAACCCGAAUCUAACAAAAUGCUUGGUUACUUCCAAGCAAAACGCAAAUUAAGGAAAUACAAUUGAUAGGUAUGCUAAGAUAAAAAAAAGCUCAUCUACCUUGGCUAAAACGCAACCAAAGUGGUGGAAGAGACGCUUGCAAAUUGCAAAAGAAAUAAUAUCUUUCGUGUGAUGGAGGAAAUAUUGGAGAAUGCUUUGUUCUCUAUCUACACUUUGUGUACGUAGUAAAUUCCCG
rnacentral:lncRNA from 1 species